GACGAACGCUGGCGGCGUGCUUAAUACAUGCAAGUCGAACGGAAAGGCCCUGCUUUUGUUGGUUUCUCGUGUGGCGAACGGGUGAGUAACACGCGAGUAUCCUGCCCUUGUCUUUGGGAUAACUUUAGGAAACUGGGGCUAAUACCGGAUAUGAGCUCCUGCUGCAUGUUGUGGGUUGGAAAGUUUCGGCGGUUGGGGAUGGACUCGCUGCUUAUCCGCUUGUUUGUGUGGUAGUGGCUUACCAAGCUUUCGACGGGUAGCCGGCAUGAGAGGGGUAACGGCGACAAGAGGACUGAGAUACGGCCCAGAAUGCUACGGGAGGCAGCAGUGGGAAGUAUUGCAGAAUGAGCGGAAGCCUGAUGCAGAAACGCCGCGUGCGGGAUGACGGCCUUCGGGUUGUAAACCGCUUUGGACUGUGACGAAGAGUGAGUGACGGUAAUGGGUAAAAAAGCACCGGCUAACUACGUG
rnacentral:rRNA from 1 species